UCGGAAUCUAGCACACUUCGAAUGGAAUCCUGUGGGAUUAAUGGACAGAGGAAUCAGAGACGAAUCCUCAUCCAUAUCUGACAUGUGUGUCGUGGUCCAGCAGCUCAUUUUUCGGUGUGACGGCUCCCGUGGACCCCACAGCAAAUGUGUCUAACGUCGACGGGACGCCAGAGAAAAGGACAAGCAUCUGCUCCAGCAACUGGUGAGAGAGUCAGAGAGAGCGAGAGACGAGUACAGAAUCAAACUGAAGAUCUGCUGAGCUGAAGAUGCUGAUAGGUGUUGAUGAGAAUGAGGUUAAACUAAUGCGCUUAGCAUAAAUGUGAUGUAUUAAUAGUAGCAAUAUGCAUUCUGUGCAAUACUAGGUGUGCAAAACUAAACUUUUUUCUUCAGUUGUGUAG